UCCAUCUUAGAAAAGAAAAAGCAGGACAAACAAUAUAGAGAAGAUUAGCCUGGCCCCUGUAACAAGGAUGACACACAAAUUCAUGAAGUGUGUUCCAUAGUUUU